rnacentral:lncRNA from 1 species
UUACGUCAUUAGCAGUGGUGGUGAGGACGGCGGGUUUCCAGAAGUGGGUUUGGUGGGUGAAAAGUUUACUGCAGUGGAGAUGAAUGUAGAGGUGGGUCGCGAAAGGCCACGGAGACGGUGGAGGAGAUUUAGAGAGAAAAUAAAGAGAAUCGUGGCGCAGUCUCGGCGGGAUCGGAGGCGAGGAGGGCGGGGGAUGAGCGAGCGCGGGCGAGAGCACAUGGGGCGAAGGCGAGGAAGGGUGU